AUUGAACGCUGGCGGCAGGCCUAACACAUGCAAGUCGAACGGUAGCACAGAGAGCUUGCUCUCGGGUGACGAGUGGCGGACGGGUGAGUAAUGUCUGGGAAACUGCCCGAUGGAGGGGGAUAACUACUGGAAACGGUAGCUAAUACCGCAUAAUGUCGCAAGACCAAAGAGGGGGACCUUCGGGCCUCUUGCCAUCGGAUGUGCCCAGAUGGGAUUAGCUUGUUGGUGAGGUAAUGGCUCACCAAGGCGACGAUCCCUAGCUGGUCUGAGAGGAUGACCAGCCACACUGGAACUGAGACACGGUCCAGACUCCUACGGGAGGCAGCAGUGGGGAAUAUUGCACAAUGGGCGCAAGCCUGAUGCAGCCAUGCCGCGUGUGUGAAGAAGGCCUUCGGGUUGUAAAGCACUUUCAGCGGGGAGGAAGGCAAUGCGGUUAAUAACCGUGUUGAUUGACGUUACCCGCAGAGGAAGCACCGGCUAACUCCGUG
rnacentral:rRNA from 1 species